UUGGGGGCAUUUUGUUUUCAUUUUAUCAGACGCUGUGUGUUGGGUGUCACUAGCCCUCUAGUGAGACAAAAAGUGGGCAGGCAAAAGUGUAGUAGUUUACAAAACUUCUCAAUCACUGCUGCUAAAGGCUCUUCUUUCGAGGGGCAAACUUUUUUUGCAGAACCUUUUAGAGACAGGUGACCUGAGACACACAUGGCAGAUCGGACUCUGAGGUCAAGGGGCUCCUUCGUAGCUCCAACCGUGUCUGCGGACUACACCUCGACAAAAGAGGACAGAGUUCUCAGAAAAAGAGAAUGAGUUUCGGGGUGAGCUGGUGAAUCAGCGGUGGACGCGAGGCGAGAGGAUCAGCCGCUGCGGACACACACUCCGACUAAAGAGCCCGCCAAUCAACGUGAGUGACACACAUAAACACACACACACACACACACACACACUUCACUGAGUGUGUCACUGAGGGUCAGAGUGGGUGUGCAUGUGUGUGCUUGUGUAUUUAAAUGUGUGGCUGUGUGUGCGUCUCUCUCUCUCCCUCUCUUUCUCUGUGAGGCUGUGUGUAUGUAUGUAUGUGUGUGAGU
ensembl:lncRNA